CAGCUUCUUGUGAGUUGUAUUUUUGUUUAGAGCUAUACUCAGUUACAUAUCUUCCAAAGGAGAAAAUAAGCACACACACACAGGUGUCGGAGCACAUCUACCAAACACAGCGUACGACAGGGCCGUCGUCAACAUGAACAUCCUUGCCAAGUGUGUGGUGGGUCAGAAAUGAUUUCACAUUAUGGGGAAGAGGAAUAAUGGGUGGACCGGAGAAAAAACCCCAAACAGAUAUAUUAGAACAGGUAUCCAAUACAAAGAACGGCCCUAGACGAAAUCUGAACCCAGAAUCUGUUGGUUCUCACUGCAGUGAAAACCGAGUGUUUUCACCAUCUGGCGCCACUUCGAGCGAGCAAGGACGUUAAAUCAAAAUUUGUUUUUUCAUAAUCUCUGAAGCGAGCGAGUUCUUUAUCUUCACCUUACCUCCAACCCCACCACACUACAAAGGGCCAGCAGUGUUGUCUCUUGCCUCCCUCCUUCCUUUGGUUUCCAGGCAAAUGCACUGUACUCUGACAGGAGACAACAUGACCUGGGGCAACGCCGGUAAAGAUGCUAGUAUCUCACAAUGUGUUGAUAUACAAACACACAUUACUGGUACAGUUGAUGGUGCGCGAGUCAUGUUUUCUUGAAUCAUGUUUUUUUUUCUAGAGUAAAUCGAGUCGAGGCAGUCACACCUGUCGAGACUGUGCUCGCAAUAACACAUCGCUCUCUCUCUCUCACACACACACAGACAGGCGUACCGAGGUUUUGGGCUCGCGAGCCAUGCAAAGUGCGCCCCGGUUACUAUUAAAAUAACUUCAUUUUAUAGGAGAAAAAAAAUGGGGAAUUUUACAAGACUAAGCCACUUGUCAAUUUUAAAAACUGUUUGAAAUAAAUGAAGAGGUUGUUGGGAAAACUCAAGAAGAAAAUUGUUUUAAUGGGCAUCAUAUUUACACCAAACAAGUAAAAAAAAAAAGGAAAAAAUUUUGGGGUGGAUGCUCAUACCUGCCUUGCCUCCACCCUUUCAGUACGCCGCUGACCGGUACUUGUAAGCAGAUGCAAAACAAGAAACUGCUACUGCUAGUGCCCCUGUAGCUGCCGCGAAUUGAUGAAGUGGUGAGGGCAGAGCUCUAGCAACUGAACGACCGGUUUGCAGUAGCUGGUUUAGACUUCAUAUUAAAAGUUCCUGGACCAAAGGGUUGCCAAUGCACACUUAUAGGGUUUUGGGAGUGUUGAGGCCGACAGCCGGCAUGGUAUGCAUGUACGCCCAACUGAACAAAAGGGAGAGAUGGGGGUGCCAAGCAUCAAUGGUUCUUGCAAAAGGACGCGCCGAGUACCUGCAUGGCCGGGUCUUACCACCUGGGAUCGACCAUUUUAUUAUCAUUGCCUAAAGCAAGCGCUCUGAACUGGCAGACUACAGCUUCAAUUAGAGUGACAUGGAAGAUGUCACGUAUGCACACACACACGAGGACAGGUACAGGCUUGGCGGUGGGGGGCAAUUACUGACCGAGUGACAACCCCGUGACCGAAGGAGAACGGGAGGGGGUCGACUAGCGACAUGAUGUAUGUGCGGGGGUGUGUUUGGAGAAAAGUGGGACGUGAAGGUCGGGUGACAAAGUUUGGUCAGAAAGUGAGGAGACAGCGCAGAUGUGGGAGCACGUUUCAUCGAGAGCGCGAGUGUGUGGUGUACAGGUUUUCGCCUUACUGGCGAUGGAGUAAAACGAUUCAGAACCCACGAAAGUGUUGUGUUUGGUUCUUGCUAAGAGAUUGGAGAGCAACUGCAUCUACCCUGCUACAGAAGAACAAAAAGUAGCAACGCACAAGACGAAAUAACAGCAAAAUGCAAGAUGGGGAAGAGGGGGUUGGGAAUUACAGGAGUUGCAGAGGCCCGGCGUUUGGUGUUUACAGGCAUGGGAGCAUAUGUCUGCUGUUUCGUGGCCAAGCAUUGACCCUUUACGGGCUAAUUUACGAGAAACUGAGGCUUAUGUGAAAGAAGGCAGCGCAAAGAUGUUGAAUUAGUGUCAUAGGUCAAACGUAAGUGCUGGUCCGAAAAAUAAUGAACAUUUUGUUCUGAUGACGUACAGCCUCUCAAUACCUUUGUUUGCUGAAUGCUCCGACGUCAUAAUUAUGACGUAACACGAGUGAUUUAAAAUAUCAGAACAAGAAAGCUCUAAGGAUUAUUCAGUGGUCAGCGAGAGAGAGAGAAACGGAUGGAUCGUUCUCAGAAACUUUGUCAGGUUUGUUGGUUUUUUUUUUUUUUUUUUUUUUUAAUAUAUCCGUGCUUGUUAUUGGUAUAGCGGGGUAGAAAUUCUAUACGUUUAGUAUCUCUUUUUGAAUAGUUUCGUUUUCAUUCAAGGAUUUUGGAUGUUAGCUGUGUUAACCGUGAGAUUGCUGUCUAUUCUGCGUCUGUUGCUCCUUUUCUUUCAUCUCUCCUUUCCUUCGAUCUGUCAAUCCUCUUCUCAGUUUAAUCGUGGCGUACUCCCCGGUAUAUCCGAACAGCUGGUCAUAUGCUACACAGUUCGAUCUGUGCCGGGAAAACCGUAUUGCUCUUCUCGGAGUGUUUGACGUUUUUCUUGCAAUCUAAAUAAACCAGAGCAGAAAACGUCCCAGGUGUACAACCUUUCCCGUGUUGUCAGAUGAAAUACACAGCAGUGUCGCUAGGCAAGCACUGCUCGCAGGACUGCCCGACAUAUCAGCUUCGACAGAAACGCCAACCUCUAGUCACCCGGUCUGUUUGUUGACUAUUAAAAGGCACGGGUCGUAUCGAGUUUAUGACGUCACCCUGGGUACAGGGCAGCGUGUUCUUUUGUCAGCUAUAUCACUCUCCUCGUGUUUCCUUUCUAAGGGAUGUGCUUUUUUUUUUUUUUCAUUGGCGUAGAUGAUCUUCCCACAAUUCAUUGCAAUGUUGUUACAAUGCUUAUGUUUUAUGGAAUGAGUCGACUUGGAGGAAGACAACCUUUUCUUCUGUUUGCCACCUUUAAUUUUGCUUCUUUUGUCACAUAACGUUCAUCGAAGUCUGUUUACUUCUUGGCGCCGACACCUUGCAGGGCGGGUAGGGGUGGGGAGGCCACUCAUGUGACGGCGGCCUUUUCCACCUGUGUUUACACAACCAUGAGGACAGCCGUACCUACCUGUUAUCGUGUCCCAUGGCGUUUAGAGCAAGCAAAUUAUCAACGUUUUCGCAGUGACAGUCGCUAGGUCGUAGCCUUAGGUAUUGCUAAGUUUCAUGCGUUGUAUGUCGCCAUUUAAUUGGAGCAGGGCAAUGUCAGAAUAGAAGAAUAAUGAACGCAUGUGCGCGACAACCAUAUCUAUCAGACUGCCUGGCGUUCCCCUGAAGGAGAAAUGCAGUUGGAAUAUUUCAGUGAAUGGCGAGGUUGAGGAGGUCGAAAACAGGAAUAGCUGCUUGCAUCUGGAUGGGUGUCCAUAAGCACUGUUGGAAGUUGUCUUCCCUGUAGCAGGUUUUUGGUGACAUUUCCUGAUGAAUCUUUGUCUGAAGCACUCCCAAAAAAUGAUGGGAUUUAGCUUUCUUCAUGGACGUCGGCGCAAAGGAGCCAUAUCUCUUAUAUUUCUAGUCAUCUUUAUAGUAGUACUUUACUCUUUACAGAAAAAAGACCCUGCAAUGUUAGAAAUCUUAGGUGACUCUUAUUGGUUGGACUUGCUACAUUCCAGUUACUUCAUUCCCAGAAAUAGAAUAAUUAUGCCACUACAUAUUUCAUAUAUAAUUGAACCAGAAAGACACUGUAGCAGUGAAGGCUACAUUGCUGUUCUUAUUCCAAGUCACCCACAGGAUGGCUUAAGAAGAGCAGCGAUUCGGAAGACUUGGGGCUAUGCUUUGAGACAGGAAGAGUGGCCACAUGCCUUACUUAGGGCACAUGCUGACAUUUUCUUUUUACUAGGGAGAGCAUCCACCCAGCUGGAAUAUCAGUCUGUUGAGCAGGAAGCACACACACAUGAUGAUAUAAUUAUAGGUGACUUUGUUGAUACAUACAGAAACCUCUCAAUAAAAAUGUUAUUUGGGUUGAAUUGGAUUGCCAAGAACUGCGCGGAAACAAAGUUUCUUGUCAAAAUGGAUUCAGACACAUUUGUUGACUUUCCACAGCUGAUGGACCUUCUCCUGAAUAAUGA